GGUUGAUAAAUAGUAACAUUAAUAAGUUUCGAGUGAUUAUCCCUAGUAUAAAAAGGCGAAAAUAGGCGAAAAGUUACAUUCUACAAAUUGUUUGCAAACUGUAAUCGUAAAACAAAAGUAACAAUGAAAUUCCUUUCAACUGUAUUUGUAGCAGCAGUAUUCAUUAUUUGCUGGACUACAAUUGAGGCAGGCGCAGGAGCAGCUAAAGCUGCACUAGAAAGGGCAAAUGGAUAUGGAGCAGCAGCAUGACCUUGAAACUACAAAUUUCACGAUGGAAACAUAUAAAUUUGUUAAAGUUUUCAAUUAUUUGUGAGCAUAAUUAAUGAAAUAAAUAUAAAUACAUCAA